rnacentral:rRNA from 1 species
GACGAACGCUGGCGGCGUGCCUAAUACAUGCAAGUCGAACGCAGUGGGGACGGGUGAGUAACACGUGGGUAACCUCCCAUCAGAGGGGAUAACACUUGGAAACAGGUGCUAAACCGACACUGAUGGAUGGACCCGCGGUGAAUUAGCUAGUUGGUGAGGUAACGGCUCACCAAGGCCACGAUGCAUAGCCGGGCUGAGAGGGUGACCGGCCACACUGGGACUGAGACACGGCCCAGACUCCUACGGGAGGCAGCAUUAGGGAAGCUUCGACAAUGGACGAAAGUCUGACCGAGCAACGCCGCGUGUGUGAAGAAGGUUUUCGGAUUGUAAAGCUCUGUUAUUAGUGAAGCGGUAUCUAACCAGAAAGCAACGGCUAACUACGUGCCAGCAGCCGCGGUAAUAC